AAACAUAAGGAACUGGAGAAGUAAAUUCAAGGAAAACAAUGGCAGCAGAAAAGAAAAAAAAAAUUCAGUAAGCAUGAGAAAAGUCUUAAAGACAAUAGUAUCAAGACACCCAGGCAUUGAAGACAAACGGCACACAUCUGCUGUGGAAUCAAAAAGGAAUGCAUGGAAAUUCAUCUGUAAUGAAUUUAAUGCAAAUGAACAAACAUCCAUAAGAACAAUACAACAGCUUCAGGUUUUGUGGAAGAAUAUAAAAAUCAACCCAAAAAAAAUUGCUGCAGAAGCCCAAAGAGAGGUUUAAGACUGAUGGAGGACCUGCAAAUAAAGCUACUGAUCAGUUGGAUGACUUACUGACAGAAUAAUGGAGAACCAGCAACCUUUGGAGAACACACCAGAUGAUGACCAUCUAGACAGUUCAGAUGAAGGAUAACACGCAUACUACAAUGGGAGAAAGUCAAAAGGACAUACCUGAAGUGAUGCAAGGUAACUUACCCUCCACAUCCUCAGAAGCUAGGGUGGCAGUGUCUACCAGUACUGGUCACCAAAACAAGAGUCCCAAGCCACACAAAGUUGGCUAUUGAAUUUCAUGAACACAAGUUGAAGUACCUUGGGGAGGAGCAUGAAAUGAAGAUCCAAGUAAAACUGGAAAUGAAGAUGAAGGAAAGAGAGAUGCAACUGUCUCAUCUCACAACAAUGUGUGAAUCUGAAAUGUCUUAUUAAAUCGUUUUGGGUGUUUCUUUAAUA